rnacentral:rRNA from 1 species
AUUGAACGCUGGCGGCAUGCCUUACACAUGCAAGUCGAACGGUAACGGGCCUUCGGGUGCCGACGAGUGGCGGACGGGUGAGUAAUGCAUCGGAACGUACCUUUCAGUGGGGGAUAACGUAGCGAAAGUUACGCUAAUACCGCCUAUUCUGUGCGCAGGAAAGCAGGGGAUCGCCAGACCUUGCGCUGAUUGAGCGGCCGAUGUCAGAUUAGCUAGUUGGUGAGGUAAAGGCUCACCAAGGCGACGAUCUGUAGCGGGUCUGAGAGGAUGAUCCGCCACACUGGAACUGAGACACGGUCCAGACUCCUACGGGAGGCAGCAGUGGGGAAUUUUGGACAAUGGGGGCAACCCUGAUCCAGCCAUGCCGCGUGAGUGAAGAAGGCCUUCGGGUUGUAAAGCUCUUUCGGCCGGGAAGAAAUCGCAUGGGUUAAUACCCUGUGCGGAUGACGGUACCGGCAUAAGAAGCACCGGCUAACUACGUGCCAGCAGCCGCGGUAAUAC